rnacentral:lncRNA from 1 species
GCCAUUUAAUUUCAGACGUGCCAAACAUUUUGGCAUGUGGUUUUGGCAUGGAGAUGGUUUAAACCAUAUGGAAUACUUUCAUAAAAAUCAAAUAAACCAAUUAAUAAAUAGAUGGUUCAAACCCAAUCAUUAGGCCAAGGCAACAAGCAAAGGGUUAGCACAAACACAUUUGCACUGAACCCAAUUGGAAACUUAGAUUAAUUCAUAUGCUAGCAAUUUAAUUAACCCAUUAAAUUUAUAAUAAAUUCAAAUAGAUUAGAUAAAGACUAAAUUCUUAUUGUG